CCUACGGGAGGCAGCAGUGAGGAAUAUUGGUCAAUGGACGAGAGUCUGAACCAGCCAAGUAGCGUGAAGGAUGACUGCCCUAUGGGUUGUAAACUUCUUUUAUAAAGGAAUAAGACGGCGCACGUGUGCCUUUUUGCAUGUACUUUAUGAAUAAGAAUCGGCUAACUCCGUGCCAGCAGCCGCGGUAAUACGGAGGAUCCGAGCGUUAUCCGGAUUUCUUGGGUUUAAAGGUAGCGUAGAUGGGUUGUUAAGUCAGUUGUGAAAGUUUGCGGCUCAACCGUGAAAUUGCAAUUGAUACUGGCAGUCUUGAGUACAGUUGAGGUAGGCGGAAUUCGUGGUGUAGCGGUGAAAUGCUUAGAUAUCACGAAGAACCCCGAUUGCGAAGGCAGCUUACUAAACUGUGACUGACAUUGAUGCUCGAAAGUGUGGGUAUCAAACAGGAUUAGAUACCCCAGUAGUC
rnacentral:rRNA from 1 species